UACGGAGGGUGCAAGCGUUAUCCGGAUUUACUGGGUUUAAAGGGUGCGCAGGCGGAUAUGUAAGUCAGUGGUGAAAUCUCUAGGCUUAACCUGGAAAUUGCCGUUGAUACUAUAUAUCUUGAAUGCUGUGGAGGUAAGCGGAAUAUGUCAUGUAGCGGUGAAGUGCUUAGAUAUGACAUAGAACACCUAUUGCGAAGGCAGCUUACUACGCAGAUAUUGACGCUCAUGCACGAAAGCGUGGGGAUCAAACAGG
rnacentral:rRNA from 1 species